GCGUAAGCGCACGCAGGCGGUCUGUCAAGUCGGAUGUGAAAUCCCCGGGCUCAACCUGGGAACUGCAUUCGAAACUGGCAGGCUAGAGUCUUGUAGAGGGGGGUAGAAUUCCAGGUGUAGCGGUGAAAUGCGUAGAGAUCUGGAGGAAUACCGGUGGCGAAGGCGGCCCCCUGGACAAAGACUGACGCUCAGGUGCGAAAGCGUGGGGAGCAAACAGGAUUAGAUACCCUGGUAGUCCACGCCGUAAACGAUGUCGACUUGGAGGUUGUGCCCUUGAGGCGUGGCUUCCGGAGCUAACGCGUUAAGUCGACCGCCUGGGGAGUACGGCCGCAAGGUUAAAACUCAAAUGAAUUGACGGGGGCCCGCACAAGCGGUGGAGCAUGUGGUUUAAUUCGAUGCAACGCGAAGAACCUUACCUACUCUUGACAUCCAGAGAACUUUCCAGAGAUGGAUUGGUGCCUUCGGGAACUCUGAGACAGGUGCUGCAUGGCUGUCGUCAGCUCGUGUUGUGAAAUGUUGGGUUAAGUCCCGCAACGAGCGCAACCCUUAUCCUUUGUUGCCAGCGGUUAGGCCGGGAACUCAAAGGAGACUGCCAGUGAU
rnacentral:rRNA from 1 species